ensembl:snRNA U6 U6 spliceosomal RNA
UUGCUUCAGUGGCACGUAUACUAAAAUUGGAACAACACAGAGAAGAUUAGUAUGACUCCUACAAAAGGAUGACAUGCAAAUUUGUGAAGUGUUCCAUACUUUU